UCAACUCUUCAAUGGCGGUCUUUUCACCAGCGUUCCCUGGCUUAUCAUCUCGACAUUUCUCAUCUUCUCUAUGCAGAGAACUGAAGUGAAAUCUGAGAGGCAGUGGAAUUUGAAAUGUGCUAUGAAGUCACAGGAAGAUUGGACAUGAAAAGGAGGAUCCAUCCAUGAUCAGUGAAUCCUGCAUUUGAUCAUACUAAAGAAUGCAUCUCCGCUGAUUUGGCAAAAUCGUAAUCAUCAUUGGAUGGAAUAGGACAACUCUCAGAUGAACUCUAGGAGCUGAGUUUUAGAUGACCAUUCUUAGCGCAUUAGUAGAGUUUCCAUCUAAACUUCAGAAAUAUGAUGAAGGAUAAACUUAUGUAUUGAAUACUAUGGCAAAUUAUUAAUUACUUAAAUGCUCAUUUCGUGAAUGGUUUGGGAAUUGGGGAACUUUGUUUGAUGGUUUCGUGCUUUGGGGUCCUGUACGAUAUGAUGUACAAGUCGUAUUAUAAUAGGGAAUUGGACAAUCAUAGGCCAAUUUCAGAAGAACAAAGCAGAAAAGGAUGAACACUACCUUCAAAUCUCAAAAAAAGAAAAUGCGUAUA